rnacentral:rRNA from 1 species
CCUACGGGUGGCUGCAGUGGGGAAUAUUGGACAAUGGGCGCAAGCCUGAUCCAGCAAUGCCGCGUGUGUGAAGAAGGCCUGCGGGUUGUAAAGCACUUUAAGCAGGAAAGAAGGGGUGGAAGUUAAUACCUUUCAUCAUUGACGUUACCUGCAGAAUAAGCACCGGCUAACUCCGUGCCAGCAGCCGCGGUAAUACGGAGGGUGCAAGCGGUAAGCGGAACGACCGGGGGCGGAGCGCGCGGAGCGGGUUGAAAGCCCCGGGCUUAACCUGGGAACUGCGGUUGAUACUGUCGAGCUAGAGUGUGGUAGAGGGGAGUGGAAUUUCCGGUGUAGCAGUGAAAUGCGUAGAGAUCGGAAGGAACACCAGUGGCGAAGGCGGCUCCCUGGACUAACACUGACGCUGAGGUGCGAAAGCGUGGGGAGCAAACAGGAUUAGAUACCCUUGUAGUC